rnacentral:tRNA from 1 species
UCCCUGAUGGUUUAGUGGUUAAGACUCCACACUGUCACUGCCGAAAGCAUAGGUUCAAUCCCUGAUUGGGGAA